rnacentral:rRNA from 1 species
GGUUUCUGGAGGAAGGUUCGUCCGCUCCAGGUUAGUCGGGAGCUAAGGUGAGGCCGGAAGGCGUAGCCGAUGCACAGACGGUAGAGAUUCCGUCACCACCAAAAGAGUUAAGCACAGGGACACAUUUGAAGUCUCAGAGCCGGGUGUUGGUUCCGGUAGAGAUCGAGGGAAGUUAGUACCGAAGUCUGGGAUGGAAGAUGGCGAGAAAAGCUGUGUGUAUUUCUGAGGUGCCCGUACCGCAAACCGACACAGGUAGGUAGGAAGAAGAUUCUAAGGCCAACGGGAGAAGGGUUGUUAAGGAACUCGGCAAAUUGACCCCGUAACUUCGGGAGAAGGGGUGCUCCAGAGAUGGAGCCGCAGAGAAUCGGCCCAAGCAACUGUUUACCAAAAACACAGGUUUGUGCUAAAUCGAAAGAUGACGUAUACGAGCUGACGCCUGCCCGGUGCUGGAAGGUUAAGAGGAGAUGUGCAAGCAUUGAAUCGAAGCCCCAGUGAACGGCGGCCGUAACUAUAACGGUCCUAAGGUAGCGAAAUUCCUUGUCAGGUAAGUUCUGACCCGCACGAAUGGCGUAACGAUUUGGGCACUGUCUCAACAGCCCGCCCGGCGAAAUUGUAGUACCGGUGAAGAUGCCGGUUACCCGCGACAAGACGGAAAGACCCCAUGGAGCUUUACUGUAGCCUAAUAUUGGGUUUCGAUGUUGCAUGCACAGGAUAGAUGGGACACUGGGAAACAAGUGCUUUGGCAUUUGUGGAGUGGCCGUUGGGAUACCAUCCUUGCGAUAUUGGAAUUCUAACCUGCGCCUUUGAAUCAAGGCGGGGGACAUUGUUAGGUGGGCAGUUUGACUGGGGCGGUCGCCUCCUAAAGAGUAACGGAGGCGUUCAAAGGUUCGCUCAGCUUGAACGGAAAUCAAGCAAAAGAGUGCAAACGCAGAAGCGAGCCUAACUGCGAGACUGACGGGUCGAGCAGUAACGAAAGUUGGAGUUAGUGAUCCGGUGGUAUGUGAGUGGAAAUGCCAUCGCUCAACGGAUAAAAGUUACCCUGGGGAUAACAGGCUGAUCUCCCCCAAGAGUCCACAUCGACGGGGAGGUUUGGCACCUCGAUGUCGGCUCAUCGCAUCCUGGGGCUGAAGUCGGUCCCAAGGGUUGGGCUGUUCGCCCAUUAAAGCGGUACGCGAGCUGGGUUCAGAACGUCGUGAGACAGUUCGGUCCCUAUCUGUCGUGGGCGCAGGAUAUUUGAGAGGCGCUGUCCCUAGUACGAGAGGACCGGGAUGGACGAACCUCUGGUGCACCAGUUGUCACGCCAGUGGCACAGCUGGGCAGCUAUGUUCGGAUCGGAUAAACGCUGAAAGCAUCUAAGCGUGAAGCCGGCCUUAAGAUAAGAUAUCCCACUGAGUCAAUCAGGUAAGACCCCUUGAAGACUACAAGGUUGAUAGGCACACAGUGUAAGCGGAGUGAUCCGUUCAGCUAGCGUGUACUAAUAGGUCGAGGGCUUGACCCC